rnacentral:rRNA from 1 species
GACGUAGGGUCCAAGCGUUGUCCGGAUUUACUGGGCGUAAAGAGCGCGUAGGCGGCUCGUUAAGUGUGAAGUAAAAUCUCUAGGGCUCAACCCAGAAACUGCUUUACAUACUGGCGAGCUGGAGUGAUGAAGAGGUUUGUGGAAUUCCUGGUGUAACGGUGAAAUGUGUUGAUAUCAGGAGGAACACCCAUGGCGAAGGCAGCAAACUGGUCAUCAACUGACGCUGAGGCGCGAAAGCGUGGGUAGCAAACAGG